ACGGCCGUCCCUCCGCUUUGUUCUGACAACUUCCCGUUUUUCUCUCCUCCAUGAUUUCUGCCUUCCCGUCUAGUUUUCUGCGUUUCCCGGUUGACUGCGCGGCCAGCAGCGGCGGGCGACUGCGAGACGGGCCGGUGCUCGCCGGGAGGGGACAGACACUCGGCAUCGACCCGCAUCGAUUAAUCAAUACCGAGGGAAGAAACGGAAGACGAGGAGAGCGAGCGGCUGGAAGUGAGGCAGAGACGGCACUGCGCACGGACACCUCGGAGCAAAUCGAUUCUUUCUUUUGGGGGGGCGAAAAUGGCAAACGGGUGUGCCAACGCAUGCUGACGCAGCUCCCCACCUACACUGCUGCUGCGUGCGGAAUCGGACCGGCCUCGCUUUCAGCACACACCCACUAAGUACCCGGAGACCCUUCAGGUCUGUUUAUCGGAAUGGGAGCCGGCGCCGACCCACGAGGGAACCGCGGACCGGACUCCCGGCGACCGGAUCCCCCCCGCGGG